CGGGGAUUAGUGGCGAACGGGUGAGUAACACGUGAGUAACCUGCCCUUAACUCUGGGAUAAGCCUGGGAAACUGGGUCUAAUACCGGAUAUGACUGAUCAUCGCAUGGUGGUUGGUGGAAAGCUUUUUGUGGUUUUGGAUGGACUCGCGGCCUAUCAGCUUGUUGGUGAGGUAAUGGCUUACCAAGGCGACGACGGGUAGCCGGCCUGAGAGGGUGACCGGCCACACUGGGACUGAGACACGGCCCAGACUCCUACGGGAGGCAGCAGUGGGGAAUAUUGCACAAUGGGCGCAAGCCUGAUGCAGCGACGCCGCGUGAGGGAUGACGGCCUUCGGGUUGUAAACCUCUUUCAGUAGGGAAGAAGCGAAAGUGACGGUACCUGCAGAAGAAGCGCCGGCUAACUACGUGCCAGCAGCCGCGGUAAUACGUAGGGCGCAAGCGUUAUCCGGAAUUAUUGGGCGUAAAGAGCUCGUAGGCGGUUUGUCGCGUCUGCCGUGAAAGUCCGGGGCUCAACUCCGGAUCUGCGGUGGGUACGGGCAGACUAGAGUGAUGUAGGGGAGACUGGAAUUCCUGGUGUAGCGGUGAAAUGCGCAGAUAUCAGGAGGAACACCGAUGGCGAAGGCAGGUCUCUGGGCAUUAACUGACGCUGAGGAGCGAAAGCAUGGGGAGCGAACAGGAUUAGAUA
rnacentral:rRNA from 1 species